AUUUUGUGGUGAAAUAAACUUAUCUCUGAAUAUUAUGCUUAGUAUAAUGUAAUGAAAUGUGUAUAUGUACUUAAGUUUUUGAAAGUAGAUAAUCAAUCAUGCGCAAAUAAUUUUUAACAUUCAAGAUAUCUUAGGUAUUAUUGACGCGCGCCUUGAUAUAUAGUAAAGAAUCUAGUCUAAGUCCAUACUCUGCAGAUAUUAGACUAUAUUUUAUAAUCCAUCCACGUCUUUGUCACAACUUAUGGUAUAUAAUUUUAGGCUAAGAGACUUUUGAGAAUGUAGCGGAAGUCAUAAUUCGUAUAUAUCUUUGGCCAUUUAAGAAUACUGCUAAAUGUUAAUUUGCUUGAGCAGGCUUGAUAACUUACAACUUCAAGAAAAAUAAAUGAAUCCAACUUCUACUGUUAAGGCCAUUGGUCACAGUCUUUCAAUUGUAUCUCUUCUCAAUAUGUUCCAGCAAUAUAUGAGCUAUGAAGGAAGUUCUAUUUGUACAAAGGAAGAGAUUUCUGUUCCAGCAAUAUAUGUCAGAGUGGUAAUUCAUGAUUAAAAUGUUCACUGGUAUGUGAUUACAUUACUGCAGGUUGCUGAGGGGGAGAUUCCACUCGUGGUAGCUAAAGGAGAGGAGAUAGCACGUUAUAAAGGACUUGAUCCGACAGAGCGUUUACUAAUGUUAAAAGCACUAUGUGAACUCCGAGCCAAUGUAUUUACUCCUUUGUCAUUAUUUUUUCUGUUUCUUAAUGUCAAGUGGUGUACAUACCGGAUAUCCUAGCUUUAUGUUACCAAUUGUUGUUGCCUGAACAUGUCAAUACAUGUUCCAAGUAUAUUCAGGUGUCUGUUCUGUUUUUCCCUUUAGUUUCUAGUUGUGUGAAAUAAUUAACUCAUUCUUUUUGUAUCCAGCAAGAUGAUGCAGUGGCUUAUAUUAAUGAUGCUCUGAAACAAGGAACUGAAAUUUCUUCAUUCCGCAAAGAUAAGAUAGGAGGAGACGAAAAGAGGACUUCUUAUUGGUAUGAUGGAAAUACAAUAAUAGGUCAUAGAUUAUACAAGGAAGUAACUGUCACUGAGUCGAAGACAAAAGUUAGGGGAACAGGGUGUUUGAACCUACCAAAUAUCAGUUUCUAGUGGGAAACACUAGCAACCAAUCUCGAGGAAUUUCAGAAAGUUAUGGAUGAACUCUCAUCAAGCAAAUUUGCAGGAGAACGUGAUGCUGCUAAGACUAUUGAAACUGAUGCUAUUCCUGCUCUUGAGAAACUUCAGAAGUUACAAGACGGCUGCCAAUGGAUUCUCUACUAAGCUCACUCAACAGCAAAAGUAAAGGCUGUUGUUGAUGCGAAAGUAAAGGUUGUUGUUGAUGCAACUUCUACUGGCAUCUUCAUUUUCAUCAUAAAGUGUGUUCUUCAAGACUUGGUUGGUUUCAACAUUUUACUAAAUUUUGUUAGAAAACUAGUUCUGUUGAUGUAAUGAC